AUGCUUGCGAUGUCUGAUGAGCUAGUGCCUCCAUCGGUUCUUGUGGGAACGAUGGACAUGGGUGGCUCUCUCCGCUUGGAAGCGCCGUCGCCUUCCUGUCCUACCCCGGUACCGGCUGGUCGCGGCGGCCUGGGUCCGGUGGAUGAGAUCUUGGUGGAUCCCGGCUGGAUGCAGGUGUUUUGUCGCCGCCGAAAGUGUUCAUCAUUUCUUCGUUCUUCCACCGGACCUGUUGGUGUGUUGGGGCACACCCCGCCCUUCGGCUGCUCGCCAUGCUUCGUGAGGUCUUCUCCUCCUCAAUCGCCGGGCGAAGGCACGCCGGCGGCGGAGCGCUGUGAUGUGCCUUUAUCCGAGAUGGGCUCAUGUCGAACAGAGAAAGGAAAGAGAGCAUGGGGUGAUAACUUUGUAGUCAACACAGACCAAACUAUGGUACAUGUUUUCCCGAGGCCACUCAUUCUGUAUAACUUAUAA
rnacentral:rRNA from 1 species